UCGGUCCUCGGUAGUGGCUCUCGCGGAGGAAAUGCCCGGGGACCUCGAUCGAAGACCG
rnacentral:ncRNA from 1 species